rnacentral:lncRNA from 1 species
CUAUUAGACGGAGGAAACAGAUCUUGGUGAGGGGGACUAUUAGACGGAGGAAACAGAUCUUGGUGAGGGGGACUAUUAGGCGGAGGAAACAGAUCUUGGUGAGGGGGACUAUUAGACGGAGGAAACAGAUCUUGGUGAGGGGGAAACAGAUCUUGGUGAGGGGGACUAUUAGACGGAGGAAACAGAUCUUGGUGAGGGGGACUAUUAGACGGAGGAAACAGAUCUUGGUGAGGGGGACUAUUAGGCGGAGGAAACAGAUCUUGGUGAGGGGGACUAUUAGACGGAGGAAACAGAUAUUGAUGAGGG